rnacentral:rRNA from 1 species
AGAGUUUGAUCCUGGCUCAGGACGAACGCUGGCGGCGUGCCUAAUACAUGCAAGUCGAACGCCUUUUCUUUCACCGGAGCUUGCUCCACCGAAAGAAAAGGAGUGGCGAACGGGUGAGGAACACGAGGGUAACCUGCCCAUCAGAAGGGGAUAACACUUGGAAACAGGUGCUAAUACCGUAUAACAAUAGAAACCGCAUGGUUUCUAUUUGAAAGGCGCUUUUGCGUCACUGGUGGAUGGACCCGCGGUGCAUUAGCUAGUUGGUGAGGUAACGGCUCACCAAGGCAACGAUGCAUAGCCGACCUGAGAGGGUGAUCGGCCACAUUGGGACUGAGACACGGCCCAAACUCCUACGGGAGGCAGCAGUAGGGAAUCUUCGGCAAUGGACGAAAGUCUGACCGAGCAACGCCGCGUGAGUGAAGAAGGUUUUCGGAUCGUAAAACUCUGUUGUUAGAGAAGAACAAGGAUGAGAGUAGAAUGUUCAUCCCUUGACGGUAUCUAACCAGAAAGCCACGGCUAACUACGUGCCAGCAGCCGCGGUAAUACGUAGGGUGCAAGCGUUAUCCGGAAUUAUUGGGCGUAAAGGGCUCGUAGGCGGUUCGUCGCGUCCGGUGUGAAAGUCCAUCGCUUAACGGUGGAUCCGCGCCGGGUACGGGCGGGCUUGAGUGCGGUAGGGGAGACUGGAAUUCCCGGUGUAACGGUGGAAUGUGUAGAUAUCGGGAAGAACACCAAUGGCGAAGGCAGGUCUCUGGGCCGUUACUGACGCUGAGGAGCGAAAGCGUGGGGAGCGAACAGGAUUAGAUACCCUGGUAGUCCACGCCGUAAACGGUGGAUGCUGGAUGUGGGGCCCGUUCCACGGGUUCCGUGUCGGAGCUAACGCGUUAAGCAUCCCGCCUGGGGAGUACGGCCGCAAGGCUAAAACUCAAAGAAAUUGACGGGGGCCCGCACAAGCGGCGGAGCAUGCGGAUUAAUUCGAUGCAACGCGAAGAACCUUACCUGGGCUUGACAUGUUCCCGACAGCCCCAGAGAUGGGGCCUCCCUU